UUGAUGUCUUGAGCAUAAAAGCUCUCUGGCCAUGCUUUGGCAUGUGUGUUGGCAUGUAAGCUGCGCUCCGCUCAGUUGUCGUUGCUCUCUCUCUCUCUCCGUCUCUCUCCCUCUCUAUCUCACUUUCGCCCUCACACUCUGGUUGUCGCUCUCGCUAUUGCCACUGCCGAUUGAGGAAAGCACAAAAAGUGCGCUGUGUGACACAAAGAGGAGUGUCAAGCAGCAUAAAUUUCAGCAUACAAAAUUCCACACACAAGCGACGCGUCGCAGUCCGAAAACUUUUUCGGCGAGUUUUCCGCAGAAAAUCCAUAAAAAUGAAAGAACCGAGUGUAAAUAUACAAUGAAAAUUGAUGCGCAAAAGUUCCUUUUAGUCUUAAAGCAAAUUGUGUAAAUAAAAGUAAGCGCAACAACAACACAAGCAACAACAACGCUCGCGAGUGUUGAAAGCUGUAAAACGCGCGCGUCUCGGCAAAAACUGAAAUCAAAGCAGAAACAUAAAUCGAAACGGGAGUAGUAGCAGCAACAGAAACAGCAACAGCAACAGUAAUGACAACAACAAUUACGGUAGUGAGACAAAUAGUAUGGCAACCCUAGAGCCAAACCCUUUUAUGGGUCCUGUGCCGCGGUGCCGUGUGCAUGUUUACAAAUUGACGCUGCAAAUUGAAUUUAUCGUUCGCACAGAGCGAAACAAGUGGUUGGGGCCACACACACACACAAACACAAGCUCACACAUACGCGCGCACGCACAGUCGGAGAAACAACAACAGUGGGUCGGCCGGGUGGUUCAGUGUGGCCAAGCAACGGUAUUUGCAACGGUAUCUGUCGCUAGGUACGGUCCAAGGCAAAAAGUUAAUUUCCGCUACUUUUAAAAGUUUUUAUGCGCUCAGUGUGUGCGUGUUUGUGUGUGCGUGUGUGUAUUUGUGUUUAUGUGUGUUUGGUUUGAUCUGGAAAUGAUGGGGUGGGUGGGCGUUUUACGCACGACGUCGACUGAGCAGGCAACAACGAUGUCGUAGACAUAGUCGACAAAUGAGAUUCUUGAACAAGUGGCCAAUGUGGAAUGUUCCAUUCUCUCAAAUGUGUUUUCAUUUUGUUGUUAUGAUAUUUUUGUACGAUUCUUGCUGUUGUCGUUGUCGUUGUUGUUGUUUGAUGAUGAUGUUGAUGUCGCAUUAAAAAACGAUCUCGAAACGCACAGCAACAACAACAAGCAGAAAUCAAAUAAAUUAAAUUUACACACAUAGUUAAAUUAGUGAAAAUUUAAUAAAAUCGAAAGAAGAAGAAGAAAAAAAAAGAAAGAAACACAGCAGAGACGUGUGACAAAAACGUAAAUAAAAUAGAGGUAUACAAAGAGAGCGGGAAAGAGCGAGAGAGAGGACGAGCGAGCGAAAGAGAGAGACCUACAAAGAGCGCGCGAGCAAGCGAGCGAGGGCAGCAGAUACAGGUCGUCAGCAGACUACACAGAACGUGUCGAGCAACAAAUUAAUAAAUAAAUAAAAAAUAAGUUCAAAA